GGCUCUGUAGUGAAGUUCAUAUUGAGUUGCAAGCUCAGUGAUGCGUGCUGAGUGCAUGCCGGAGCCU
rnacentral:tRNA from 1 species